UACGAAGGGGCUAGCGUUGCUCGGAAUGACUGGGCGUAAGGCGCGUAGGCGGAUGGCACAGUCAGAUGUGAAAUUCCCGGGCUUAACCUGGGGCUGCAUUUGAUACGUGUUGUCUAGAGUGAGGAAGAGGGUCGUGGAAUUCCCAGUGUAGAGGUGAAAUUCGUAGAUAUUGGGAAGAACACCGGUGGCGAAGGCGGCGACCUGGUCCUUGACUG
rnacentral:rRNA from 1 species